rnacentral:lncRNA from 1 species
CAAAACCAUAUAAUAUACAGGUGCCCCAUACACACCAGUACCAAUCCAUCAAACAAGCAGCAUGAGUUGUUUCCCGUCAACUCCGAACGACUCGCAUUAUUUGAGAACAAAAAUGCGAGUCGUUCGGCGGGAGCCGCUUCACCUAUCGUGUCUAGGUAAGCUUUUAUUUAUGUACUCUUCGUUUAGAAUAUCGAGGUGGUUGGUUUGGUAUUGAAUGUAUGUUAUUCAUGUUUUCGUUCUCAAAACGAAAACCUCAUAGUCCAACGUCUAUACAAUUUCGAUAAGUCUUGUGUUUGUGUAAUUGGUAUUCAAAAUCCUAACAUUUUUUUGUUCGUGAUCAAAUGCUCUGAUAUCAUGCGUAAACAAACACCCUGUUUAUGGAUUAGAUAAAAUAGUAGUCAACUUGACUAGUAGUAUACUGUAAACUGUACCGCUUGUAAUAUCACAACAAACUUAAUAACUAAUUCUUUUCGUUCUUCGUUUCCUCAGUGUUGGAUACCUGAUAACAUGUUACGAAUCGUUCAUACUAAUAACUCGAAUAUUUAAGAGAAGAAUAUUUAUUCAUUUAACAAACAAAAUUCAUCUUAGUUUCAUGCAGAGUGCAAGGUGAAAGGUGGAAGCGAGAUCUCAUUGUUUCAUGAAUGCCGGCAAGUUGGGAUAUAUUGAGUGGGAGUUCAUAUCCCUCCAUAUCCCCAGACCUUCUUUAACGUUUCCCCAGCUUACAUACAUAAUAUUCAGUCUUCCUAUGCUUUUUUUUUCAUCUUACCAGUGAAACCGUAGUAAAAUUGACAUGGAGAGUGAAACACACGUCACCGUCUUGUAAUCCUGCGUAGCCUCCAGGACCUCCUCUGCCGCCACAGUCACUGCCACUGUAUAUACAUGUAUCCAAUUCACCAUCACCACCUUAGCCGCCUCCGCCGUAUCCCAACGCUAUUUUACCCUCCUCUCCCACUCUUAGGUGCCCGCUAGACAAAUAACUAGUUAUAACCAGUUGUGUAACUGGUUAUAAUUGCUUGUAACUAGUUACACGCCCUAUUAUAACUGGUUGUAAAGUUGGAUAGCGUUGGGUAUGACGGAUGCAGCUAAGGCGGUGAUGUGUGAAUACAGUGGCAGUGACUGUGCCGGCAGAGGAGGUGGUGGAGACUAUGGAGGAUUAGGAGGCGCUGACGGGUGCUUCAACUGUAGUCAAGCGGGAUUACAUUUACUUGGGGGGUUUGUCUGUCCUUUCAAGGUGCCAAAAGAUUUCACAUUUUGUAAUAUGCUAUCUCCAGUUUUGUUUUCCGGAUUCGGGUUUCGUAUCUGUUAUAUUCAUUAACUUCCACCGAAAUCGACCGUACACACUGGUUAACUGUAUGCGUAUAACAAUCGAUUACGGUUUAUCCGAAUAACCGACUGGCCACCGAAUCCAAAACGUUUCGAGUAUGAACUUACUAUUAUCUGCCUUACUAAACGGUUACAAAUCUUCCGACAGCAUCCGAUAAGUUUUUUGUGAUUAAAUUUUCCAUUGUAAGCUCAUGUCCUAGGGGAUUAUAGUAAACAAAGGUUGCAAUCUUGAGUUCGAUUAGUUUCGGUUAACUGAAGACAAACCCUUGGGC